rnacentral:rRNA from 1 species
CCUACGGGAGUCAGCAGUGAGGAAUAUUGGUCAAUGGGCGAGAGCCUGAACCAGCCAAGUCGCGUGAGGGAGUACUGCCCUAUGGGUUGUAAACCUCUUUUGUCGGGGAGCAAAAGCCGGACGUGUCCGGCUGUGAGAGUACCCGAAGAAAAAGCAUCGGCUAACUCCGUGCCAGCAGCCGCGGUAAUACGGAGGAUGCGAGCGUUAUCCGGAUUUAUUGGGUUUAAAGGGUGCGCAGGCGGAUUUUUAAGUCAGCGGUAAAAUCGUGGGGCUCAACCCCAUCCAGCCGUUGAAACUGGGGAUCUAGAGUGUGCGAGAGGUAUGCGGAAUGCGUGGUGUAGCGGUGAAAUGCAUAGAUAUCACGCAGAACCCCGAUUGCGAAGGCAGCAUACCGGUGCACAACUGACGCUCAGGCACGAAAGCGUGGGUAUCGAACAGGAUUAGAUACCCUAGUAGUC